AGAGGGAUCUAAGCCACAGACUGGCUGGAGAGAAGCAGAAGGGUCGUGCCAUGAGAAGGGGGAGGAAGAGGAGGAGAUGAUGGCGGCUUCCAAGACUGUAAAGAAGUUGGGACAAGAGAUCAAGAUGCCUAAAAGAACCCUUUCACAUGUAGUCUCAUUCAGCCAGAUUGACAGCCUCUCAAGGAAGGAGAGGUCAGAGGGCAUGCUCCAGCUUGACCAGCCAUGGGUUAUCUUGGCAAGAUUUCUUCAGAGGGGAUUGUCUUCUUCUGAGGCAUAAAGAGGUUA